GACGAACGCUGGCGGCGUGCCUAAUACAUGCAAGUCGAACGAGAGCGCCCGGUUCUUGCUCUGCUCAAUCUAGAGGCGAACGGGUGAGUAACAUGUGGGUAACCUGCCUUUCAGAGGGGGAUAACAUUCGGAAACGGAUGCUAAAACGGCAUAGGUCCUCGAACCGCAUGGUUGGAAGAGGUAAGGAGGCGCAGGUUUCUGCUGAUGGAUGGACCUGCGGUGCAUUAGCUAGUUGGUGAGGUAACGUCUCACGUAGGCCGGGAUGCAUAGCCAACCGGAGAGGCGGAUAGGCGACAUUAGAACUGGAACACGGCCCAAGCGCCUGCGGGAGGCAGCAGUCGGCAAUGUUCGGCAGUAGUCGGGAGUCUUGCGGAGCAGCCCCACGUGAGUGGAGAAGGUGUUCGGAGCGUAAUGAUCUCCUGCUGGAGGAAAAUAGCUGUCAGAAGAACUGUUGGCGCCUUGACGGUACCUAACGAAGAAGCAACGGCUAACUACGUG
rnacentral:rRNA from 1 species